rnacentral:lncRNA from 1 species
CUUAAAUAUUUGAUGCUCCUGAGCUCCUUUGUACGUAUCUUUUUUAUGCAAUUACAUAGAAUCAUUGAUAACAAAAAAAUGGGUGCAGGAACUCUAUGCUCUAAUGUUAAUCAACAUGCCUACAACCAAAGGAGAGAGUAAAACCCAAAGUCAAGACAAGCAGCUUGAUGCUGAGGGAGAAGAUGGCAACGAGGAUGAAGACGACGAAGAAGAUGAUGAUGGAGAUGGUGCAUUUGGAGAAGGAGAAGAGGAAUUGUCAUCUGAAGAUGGAGGUGGAUAUGGCAACAAUUCCAACAAUAAGAGCAACUCAAAGAAGACUCCUGAAGGUGGUGCUGGUGGGGCAGAUGAAAAUGGAGAAGAGGAAGACGAUGAAGAUGGUGAAGGUGAUGACCAUGAUGAAGAUGACGAUGAGGACGAGGACGACGAAGAAGAGGAUGAGGUCGGAGAAGAGGACGAAGAAGAUGGUGUUGAAGAAGAGAAUGAAGAGGAAGAAGAAGACGAAGAUGAGGAAGCCUUGCAGCCACCAAAGAAAAGGAAGAAGUGAAUUUAGCUUAGUCAAGCCUCCUUUUGUAUUGUUGUGUACGAAUUUGGCUUCUAACUUCCCAUGAUGUUUUUUUUAAGUAUUAAACUUCUAUGUUCUUGUUUUCUUUAUAAGGAGGCCUAUGUAGGACAUGUUUUAAUUGAUAUCUGUGUUUACCAUUGCGUAAUUAGAAUUCUACAUUAUGUUGAGCAGUCAGUCUUAAAUUUACAAGACAGAAAAAAUAAUGAUCCUAGUUAAUUUUAACGUGACUUUUCUCACUUCACCAACUUCUGUAAUUUGUUUAUGUUCUACUACAGUUCC